AACAGGAUUAGAUACCCUGGUAGUCCAUGCCGUAAACGUUGGGCACUAGGUGUGGGGGACAUUCCACGUUUUCCGCGCCGUAGCUAACGCAUUAAGUGCCCCGCCUGGGGAGUACGGCCGCAAGGCUAAAACUCAAAGGAAUUGACGGGGGCCCGCACAAGCGGCGGAGCAUGCGGAUUAAUUCGAUGCAACGCGAAGAACCUUACCAAGGCUUGACAUAUACCGGAUCGUUCCAGAGAUGGUUCUUCCCCUUUGGGGUCGGUAUACAGGUGGUGCAUGGUUGUCGUCAGCUCGUGUCGUGAGAUGUUGGGUUAAGUCCCGCAACGAGCGCAACCCUCGUUCCAUGUUGCCAGCACGUGAUGGUGGGGACUCAUGGGAGACUGCCGGGGUCAACUCGGAGGAAGGUGGGGAUAACGUCAAAUCAUCAUGCCCCUUAUGUCUUGGGCUUCACGCAUGCUACAAUGGCCGGUACAAAGGGUUGCGAUACUGUGAGGUGGAGCUAAUCCCAAAAAGCCGGUCUCAGUUCGGAUUGAGGUCUGCAACUCGACCUCAUGAAGUCGGAGUCGCUAGUAAUCGCAGAUCAGCAACGCUGCGGUGAAUACGCUCCCGGGCCUUGUACACACCGCCCGUCAAGUCACGAAAGUCGGUAACACCCGAAGCCGGUGGCCCAACCCUUGUGGAGGGAGCCGUCGAAAGUGGGACUGGCGAUUGGGACUAAGUCGUAACAAAGGUAACCGUA
rnacentral:rRNA from 1 species